GCUGGCGGCAUGCCUUAAUCAUGCAAGUCGAACGAAGUUUCGAGGAAGCUUGCUUCCAAAGAGACUUAGUGGCGAACGGGUGAGUAACACGUAGGUAACCUGCCCAUGUGUCCGGGAUAACUGCUGGAAACGGUAGCUAAAACCGGAUAGGUAUACAGAGCGCAUGCUCAGUAUAUUAAAGCGCCCAUCAAGGCGUGAACAUGGAUGGACCUGCGGCGCAUUAGCUAGUUGGUGAGGUAACGGCCCACCAAGGCGAUGAUGCGUAGCCGGCCUGAGAGGGUAAACGGCCACAUUGGGACUGAGACACGGCCCAAACUCCUACGGGAGGCAGCAGUAGGGAAUUUUCGUCAAUGGGGGAAACCCUGAACGAGCAAUGCCGCGUGAGUGAAGAAGGUCUUCGGAUCGUAAAGCUCUGUUGUAAGUGAAGAACGGCUCAUAGAGGAAAUGCUAUGGGAGUGACGGUAGCUUACCAGAAAGCCACGGCUAACUACGUGCCAGCAGCCGCGGUAAUACGUAGGUGGCAAGCGUUAUCCGGAAUCAUUGGGCGUAAAGGGUGCGUA
rnacentral:rRNA from 2 species